CCUGGCUCGGAUGAACGCUAGCUACAGGCUUAACACAUGCAAGUCGAGGGGCAGCAUUUCAGUUUGCUUGCAAACUAGAGAUGGCGACCGGCGCACGGGUGAGUAACACGUAUCCAACCUGCCGAUAACUCGGGGAUAGCCUUUCGAAAGAAAGAUUAAUACCCGAUGGCAUAAUUAGACCGCAUGGUCUUAUUAUUAAAGAAUUUCGGUUAUCGAUGGGGAUGCGUUCCAUUAGGCAGUUGGUGAGGUAACGGCUCACCAAACCUUCGAUGGAUAGGGGUUCUGAGAGGAAGGUCCCCCACAUUGGAACUGAGACACGGUCCAAACUCCUACGGGAGGCAGCAGUGAGGAAUAUUGGUCAAUGGGCGCAGGCCUGAACCAGCCAAGUAGCGUGAAGGAUGACUGCCCUAUGGGUUGUAAACUUCUUUUAUAUGGGAAUAAAGUUUUCCACGUGUGGAAUUUUGUAUGUACCAUAUGAAUAAGGAUCGGCUAACUCCGUGCCAGCAGCCGCGGUAAUACGGAGGAUCCGAGCGUUAUCCGGAUUUAUUGGGUUUAAAGGGAGCGUAGGUGGACAGUUAAGUCAGUUGUGAAAGUUUGCGGCUCAACCGUAAAAUUGCAGUUGAUACUGGCUGUCUUGAGUACAGUAGAGGUGGGCGGAAUUCGUGGUGUAGCGGUGAAAUGCUUAGAUAUCACGAAGAACUCCGAUUGCGAAGGCAGCUCACUGGACUGCAACUGACACUGAUGCUCGAAAGUGUGGGUAUCAAACAGGAUUAGAUACCCUGGUAGUCCACACAGUAAACGAUGAAUACUCGCUGUUGGCGAUAUACAGUAAGCGGCCAAGCGAAAGCAUUAAGUAUUCCACCUGGGGAGUACGCCGGCAACGGUGAAACUCAAAGGAAUUGACGGGGGCCCGCACAAGCGGAGGAACAUGUGGUUUAAUUCGAUGAUACGCGAGGAACCUUACCCGGGCUUAAAUUGCAUUUGAAUAAUCUGGAAACAGGUUAGCCGCAAGGCAAAUGUGAAGGUGCUGCAUGGUUGUCGUCAGCUCGUGCCGUGAGGUGUCGGCUUAAGUGCCAUAACGAGCGCAACCCUUAUCUUUAGUUACUAACAGGUCAUGCUGAGGACUCUAGAGAGACUGCCGUCGUAAGAUGUGAGGAAGGUGGGGAUGACGUCAAAUCAGCACGGCCCUUACGUCCGGGGCUACACACGUGUUACAAUGGGGGGUACAGAAGGCAGCUACCUGGUGACAGGAUGCUAAUCCCAAAAGCCUCUCUCAGUUCGGAUCGAAGUCUGCAACCCGACUUCGUGAAGCUGGAUUCGCUAGUAAUCGCGCAUCAGCCAUGGCGCGGUGAAUACGUUCCCGGGCCUUGUACACACCG
rnacentral:rRNA from 1 species